rnacentral:rRNA from 1 species
UACAGAGGUCUCAAGCGUUGUUCGGAUUCAGUUGGGCGUAAAGGGUGCGUAGGCGGCGCGGUAAAGUCGGGGUGUGAAAUCUUGGAGCUUAACUCCGAAACUGCAUUCGAUACUGCCGUGCUUGAGGACUGGAGAGGAGACUGGAAUUUACGGUGUAGCGGUGAAAUGCGUAGAUAUCGUAAGGAAGACCAGUGGCGAAGGCGGG